rnacentral:rRNA from 1 species
GAUGAACGCUGGCGGCGUGCCUAAUACAUGCAAGUCGAGCGAACAGACGAGGAGCUUGCUCCUCUGACGUUAGCGGCGGACGGGUGAGUAACACGUGGAUAACCUACCUAUAAGACUGGGAUAACUUCGGGAAACCGGAGCUAAUACCGGAUAAUAUAUUGAACCGCAUGGUUCAAUAGUUAAAGACGGUUUUGCUGUCACUUAUAGAUGGAUCCGCGCCGCAUUAGCUAGUUGGUAAGGUAACGGCCUACCAAGGCGACGAUGCGUAGCCGACCUGAGAGGGUGAUCAGCCACACUGGAACUGAGACACGGUCCAGACUCCUACGGGAGGCAGCAGUAGGGAAUCUUCCGCAAUGGGCGAAAGCCUGACGGAGCAACGCCGCGUGAGUGAUGAAGGUCUUCGGAUCGUAAAACUCUGUUAUUAGGGAAGAAAAAAUGUGUAAGAAAAUAUGCACGUCUUGACGGUACCUAAACAGAAAGCCACGGCUAACUACGUG